CAGCAGCCGCCACGGUAAUACGUAGGGUGCAAGCGUUAAUCGGAAUUACUGGGCGUAAAGCGUGCGCAGGCGGUUAUAUAAGACAGAUGUGAAAUCCCCGGGCUCAACCUGGGAACUGCAUUUGUGACUGUAUAGCUAGAGUACGGCAGAGGGGGAUGGAAUUCCGCGUGUAGCAGUGAAAUGCGUAGAUAUGCGGAGGAACACCGAUGGCGAAGGCAAUCCCCUGGGCCUGUACUGACGCUCAUGCACGAAAGCGUGGGGAGCAAACAGGAUUAGAUACCCCCGUAGUCCCUGUCUCUUAUAC
rnacentral:rRNA from 1 species